rnacentral:rRNA from 2 species
AUACCCUGGUAGUCCAUGCCGUAAACGAUGAAUGCUAGGUGUUGGAGGGUUUCCGCCCUUCAGUGCCGCAGCUAACGCAUUAAGCAUUCCGCCUGGGGAGUACGACCGCAAGGUUGAAACUCAAAGGAAUUGACGGGGGCCCGCACAAGCGGUGGAGCAUGUGGUUUAAUUCGAAGCAACGCGAAGAACCUUACCAGGUCUUGACAUCUUUUGAUCACCUGAGAGAUCAGGUUUCCCCUUCGGGGGCAAAAUGACAGGUGGUGCAUGGUUGUCGUCAGCUCGUGUCGUGAGAUGUUGGGUUAAGUCCCGCAACGAGCGCAACCCUUAUGACUAGUUGCCAGCAUUUAGUUGGGCACUCUAGUAAGACUGCCGGUGACAAACCGGAGGAAGGUGGGGAUGACGUCAAAUCAUCAUGCCCCUUAUGACCUGGGCUACACACGUGCUACAA